ACGGCUCAGUAACACGUGGAUAACCUGCCCUUGGGACCGGCAUAACCCCGGGAAACUGGGGAUAAUUCCGGAUAACGCAUAUAUGCUGGAAUGCUUUAUGCGUAAAAUGGAUUCGUCCGCCCAAGGAUGGGUCUGCGGCCUAUCAGGUAGUAGUGGGUGUAAUGUACCUACUAGCCGACAACGGGUACGGGUUGUGAGAGCAAGAGCCCGGAGAUGGAUUCUGAGACAUGAAUCCAGGCCCUACGGGGCGCAGCAGGCGCGAAAACUUUACAAUGCGGGAAACCGUGAUAAGGGGACACCGAGUGUCAGCAUCAUAUGCUGGCUGUCCAGGUGUGUAAAAUACACCUGUUAGCAAGGGCCGGGCAAGACCGGUGCCAGCCGCCGCGGUAACACCGGCGGCCCGAGUGGUGAUCGUGAUUAUUGGGUCUAAAGGGUCCGUAGCCGGUUUGGUCAGUCCUCCGGGAAAUCUGAUAGCUCAACUAUUAGGCUAUCGGGGGAUACUACCAGACUUGGAACCGGGAGAGGUAAGAGGUACUACAGGGGUAGGAGUGAAAUCUUGUAAUCCCUGUGGGACCACCUGUGGCGAAGGCGUCUUACCAGAACGGGUUCGACGGUGAGGGACGAAAGCUGGGGGCACGAACCGGAUUAGAUACCCGGGUAGUCCCAGCCGUAAACGAUGCUCGCUAGGUGUCAGGCAUGGCGCGACCGUGUCUGGUGCCGCAGGGAAGCCGUGAAGCGAGCCACCUGGGAAGUACGGCCGCAAGGCUGAAACUUAAAGGAAUUGGCGGGGGAGCAC
rnacentral:rRNA from 1 species